CAAUACUUUUACAAGUAUCAACCCAAACUGUUGAACUGAAAGAGCGUCCGAUAGGAAAUGGAAGUGGUUUGAGAGAGCAGGCGGCUUUGUGAAGUGCUUCCGGCACUUCGGUCCGUUCUCGAUUUCUCUUCAUGUUAAAGAGAAAGCCCUUUUUUUCCUAGCUCGCGUAUUCUCAUUUUCUUUUUAACCCCUUUCACCAAACUACAAUUUAAACAAGUUAUUGAACUGAAUUCGAAGGAUGCUGAAAAGCGUCUAUUUCGAUUCUAUCUUUACGAAACGUAAGAA
rnacentral:misc_RNA from 1 species